rnacentral:lncRNA from 1 species
UUUUUUAGUUUUCGGCGGACACAACAUCUUUGGUGUAUGUGGUGCUGAGGAUCGAACCCAGGCUGCACACAUGCCAGGAGAGUGCACUACCGCUUGAGCCACAUCCCCAGCCCAAGAUCCAGCUCUUAAAAUGUAAAAAGGAAAGUAUAUGUCUAUACAAUUGUUUAUAGAGACAUUACAUAUUACAGCCCCAAAUUGGAAAUAACCAAAUACCCAUUAACUGAUAAAUGCACAGUUAAUUAUAUUUUAUACUAUAGAAAACUAUUGAGCACUAUAAAGAAACACAUAGCUUACACAUGCAUCAAGCCACACAUUUUUGAAACAUGCAUCAAGCUUGACGAAAGAAGCCAGAUGCAAGAUUUCACACUAUAUGAGUCAUUCCAAUGACAUUCUACCAAAAGGCAAAACUAUAGAAAUAUAAAUCUCCUCAAUGGUUAUUAUGGACUGAGGAUAGGGAAAAAGAUAUGAUCAUAAAAGUUAUAAAAGGAAACAAUUUAAUGUGAUGGAAACAUUUAUAUUCUAUAUCUACACUCAGGUAGUUUUCUACAUACAUUUGUCCCAAAUGGCCAAACUACACAACCUAAAAAGGGCAGAUUAUGUUGUCAGCAAUUUAUAACUAAACAACCACAGUUAAAAAACAACAUCCCUUCUUUCAAAAAAAAAAAAAAGUCAUAUAGUUUCUAUUAUGUAUGAUAAAAAUGUGCUGAAAAAGAAAUUUUAAAAGACCUCAAAUAUUGGAAUGAUGGAGUUGAAUAGUUUAAAAUUAUUAAUUAUGAAUUCUCCUCAAACUGAUCAUGAGAUCAAAUACAAUCUAUCAAAAUCUCAAACUCAUUUUUUAUUUUGUUUUUCCAGUGUGUAUGGGAAUAGAGUGAAGAGAUUGACAAGCUGGUUUUUAAACUUAUAAGGAAAUGGGAAAUGUAAAGAUACUUAGAAGACACUGGAAAUAAUGAAGAACAACAGUGGAGUAUGUACAUUUACAAAUAUUAAGAAUUACAAAUCUAUUGGAUCUAAUCAAUGUGGCAUUUAUGCUAGGAUAAAUAGACUACAUUUGUAGAAUUGAGAAUCAGGAAAAAAUCUAUACAUAUACAAAAUAGAUGACUGCAAAAUAAUGCAAAUAGUUAGAAAAUGAUGACCGUUCCAAUUAAUAUUACUGGCUUAAUGGAGAUAUACUUAUGGGGAAAAAUAUCUUUGUCAUUAUCUCACACCAUACAACAAGUAAUUUCAAGGUGUCUUAUAGUUCUAAUGUGAAAGUUGAAACAAUAAGGUCUCAUAAGAAAGCACAGGAAAAUAGCUUCAUAUAUAUGUAGAUGUUCCUUCAACAUGAUACAAUAAGCAUGAACAGUAAACAUAUUGAUAAUAACAACAUAAAAUCUAUAGAGUUCUAUCCAAUAAAAUGCCUCAUUAAGAGAAUGCAGUGAUGAGUUCACAGUUCUGAGCCACAUACUCAGAAGAUUUGCAACAUAUAUUCUGCAAAAUCUCAAAUCAAAUAUAUCUGCAAAUCAUGAAGAAAAAUGCAAAUAAAUUAACUAAUAAUUAAUUAAUUAAACUAACUAAUACAAACUAAGGCCCAAUAGGGUAUAAAAUGUUAUUCAACACCAUUAAUCAUUAACAAUAUGCAAAGUCUAACCCUAAAAUGACAAAACAAACUGAAUAACCUGGACUAAUUUAGAAACUCUUCAGUAAGCAUUAGCAAUGAUACAGAGCAACUGGAGUUUUCAUAACUUACUGAUGAAAACUUUAAGGUAUUUCAUACCCCAUUGAUACUAAUAAUAGGAGAACCAUAGCAUCAAGAGAAGUAAAAAUGGGACAAUUUUCUUGCACAGAGAUGAAAAACAAAAGUAUUAGUGUAAGGAUUCAUUAAAAUGCCUGACACAAUUAUCUGGUAACAACUCAUGUAAAUAAGAGUGAUCAAAAAUAUUUCUAAACGUUACAUGCACACUGAUUUGGCGUUUUUCAAAUACAUGAAUAUACAUAGGGGUAACUAUAUACUUUCAUACUUAUAUUAAUUCUUGUUAAGUAUAAUACUCAUAAUAUGUAUUAAGUAUAGGUAUUAUAAUACUUAAAAAGCAUAUGCAAGUACAUAUAAAAUGUAUGUAAGUAUUAUGCUUAUAAAAUAUAUAUGAUUUAUAUAUUUAUAUUUAUACUUUUAUAUAAGUCAUGUAUAUUUUUAGUAGUUCAUCUGUAAAACAAAGUCUUCAAUUAUGUAAGCUUACUAAAACCUAAUAAAAUCAUUCUGCUACUGCUGCCUCUGGCAAUAAUUUCAAAUACUCUGACUCUGUAGAGUUAGAAAUGGUCAUGCGUUAUUCACCUAAGAAAUAAAGGAAUUGUUUCAACAGUUUGUUAAUCGUGUGAAAGUUCUACUGAGCUAUGUUUAAAAUCCCAGGAUAGUGAUCAGUUUAUCUUUGUGUAAUAUAUUCUUGAAGCAUAGCUAAAGGCAAGUUAGUAUUUUAUUCUUAUGAGGAUCUAAACAUUAUACAUCAAAUGAUUGGUAGGCAGGUACUUUAUUCUGACAAAUAGAUCUCAAGAAAAAAAAAAAAACAACAGAAGUGUGAUUAGAGGAAAUUCCAAGCUAGAUGGCCAUAAUUAUAACAACUAAAAAAUGAUCACUCAUCAAAAUGACCUUCACUUAAUCUAUGUGAGGAAAAACACUCACUAUGUUAUAUUUUCUAAACUUUCCUUG